UGAACCAAAACCAAUCACAGGAGAAGAACAGAGAAGAGUUGAUAUGGAGGACGAAGAGGUCCCACAAGGACCAAGGCCGGAUUUGCGACGUUAUAUGGAAAUGUUGGUUAGAGAAGAG